rnacentral:rRNA from 1 species
CGUGAGAUGUUGGGUUAAGUCCCGCAACGAGCGCAACCCCUAUUGUUAGUUGCUACGCAAGAGCACUCUAGCGAGACUGCCGUUGACAAAACGGAGGAAGGUGGGGACGACGUCAAAUCAUCAUGCCCCUUAUGUCCUGGGCUACACACGUAAUACAAUGGCGGUCAACAGAGGGAUGCAAAGCCGUAAGGCGGAGCGAACCCCUAAAAGCCGUCCCAGUUCAGAUUGUGGGCUGCAACCCGCCCACAUGAAGUCGGAAG